AAAAAAAAAAAAAGAAAAAGACGCAGCAGAGAGUCCGUAUUGGAAACUCGCGAUCCACCGAUUUUCCACGGAUCGUAAACAGAUCGAAAUACUUGUCCCGGUAAAGUAAAUGCCGCUAGGUAUUCUUCCUUAAAUUACUUUUAAGCUUAAUCGCUAACAACCAUGGCUCUUUAGUAGCCAUUUUUCUCUACUUUGUCUGUGGACUCGGUUUUUUUUUCUUCUUUUUUUUUACAACCAUGCUCGUUUCACGAAAAUACAUGUCUCUCUUUCUUUUGUUCGUAGUCUGUACAGCCAUCUUGCGGGGGUCGUCGUAACGAAAAUAGUCGCUAGUCUAACGCUGUCGAUAGACGAAACGCUUGAACUGCCAAAGUAUCGGUCUAGUCGAACUCGUCCUCGUUACUUCGUUCGAUGUCUCAAAACGUUUGUUGCUGUUCGCGGUUUGUUUGACAAGUGAAGAAAGAAGAGAACAAAGAGAAGAGAGAGAUAAAAGGAAAGUGUUCGUUGUUGAAAGUUUAGAAUUGUCACAGUUUGACGAGUCAUUCCUGAAACUAAUCGAGAUCUAGAUCAGACUCCACUGAAUUCUACAGGCUGGGCCAAAAGUUUCUCCCCGCUUACUUUUGUUUUUCGAUAAAACCUCAAACUAUAACUAAUGUUAUCGAUUUUGAAUUAAAUUUAAGUUUAAACGCGAGUUUCUUUUUUUUUUUUACUACGUUUUGAGAAUUAUUUCUUUCAAAUGUCGUAAUAAAUUAAUAAAACAUACAUUGAUACGAUAUAUUAGUCGAUUAACAAAAAGAAUAAUUAACUAAGAAAAUAGUUACCGAUUUAUUUUCGUAGGAAGUGACUUUUCGCCCACCCUGUAAUUUCAACUCGUCAAAUCUCAAUGAGCUACGCCGAUGCCACAGAGAACUCGAUACUUCGUCAGUUCUCUCUCACGAUUUCGCAGCUUUUUUUUCCUCAAUUACGAAAUUUCCUCCUAGCGUCACUCUGGCCCGUCCUCCGACUGAAAAAUAUAUAAUCGGGAGUCUCGCGAGGACGAUGCCUGUAUACUUGCACUAUCGAGAAAACCUUACGCGUCCUAAAUUGGUGUUGUCCUAAACGAAAAACAUCGUACAGGGAAGAGUCCAUCCGUGCACCGAAUCUACAGUAAUCGCGUUUUACAAGUGUGUGUACGUGUGUUUGCGUGUUCUAUCUCUUUAAAUAUGAAAAAAAACAUGCGCAACCUGUGCAACGUCGACGGGGGGAGGAAAAAAAAAAGGCCGGAAAAUGCCGACCGUCGUUAUACAAAAUUCUGUAAGUACGUACGUCCUUAUCGACUGAGCCGCCUAUGGUAAAGACGAUUCCACGAUGGAAUGUGUAAUUCGACGAUUACCGAUUACAAUUGAAGAGUAAGAAGGGGAAACCAAAAAAAAAGGG